rnacentral:tRNA from 1 species
GCCUCUGUAAUGCAAUCGGUAGACAUCGCUUGCUUAAACCAAGUGUGUUGCAGGUUCGACUCCUGUCAGAGGCA